AACGAAUUAGAGCUUGAUAGAAAGCAUUUCACUUACACUGAAAGAUUUACUGUGCAAUUCAGUUUAAUUUGAU
rnacentral:tRNA from 1 species